CCGUGGGUGAGGGUAGCCUAGGUUUUUCGUUGAUUCCUAAGGAACAAGGCUGCCUUAACGAAGUUACUACAUGUGAAUAUAAACUCCCCUGUGACAUGUGACGAAUUGAAGCAUGUGACAGAGAAGGUCCCAGUGCAGAGCCUGACUUUUUAAAUCAAAGGGCAGAGGCACAUACAGCAGGAGCUGGCAUGGUUUGGGCACUGAUGGAGUGCGGCUGAUUAGGAGGGAAAGGUCAACACUGCCUUGUAAGGUCCGUGGCUGAGGAGGUCCGAACUGGUCUGUGAGAUAAUUGGUUCUCAUUGUUUGAAAAGUGAUGCCCAAAUGGCCAAGAGGACUCAAGUGUAAGCAUGGUUGAAGGAAUACUACACUGUCUGCUCACACUGAACUUGGGCAGGGCCCUGGCUGGCUCCUCCAGACUGUUCCUGCUCACCUUGCUUCAGCCCACGCACGAUUCCAUUCUAAAAGAGGUGGAAACAGAAUUCCCACAAACUUCUUUCUCUGUGCUGAGCUUGGAGGGAGGUAGGCCAACUCUCCUGGUCUCUUUGGGCCUGUGUGCACUUCUGGAUCAUAGUCCUCCAAAUCACAUUAUCAUUUAAAUACCUGUUUGUUUCUCUUCUCCCUUACUAAACCCUGAACCUCAAAAGCUGGACCUUGUUCUACUCAUGGCUUUAUUCCAGCACCUAACACAAGAGAGGGCACAAAGCACUUAGUGAGUGACUGAAGAGCAAGUAUGUGUGUGUCUUAGGGGUGUGGGUAGAGAUGUCUACUGCUACCCUAAUUUGAGAGAAAACUUUGGACCAUGUGGAACUGGUGUUAUUUGUCAGACGUGUGUACACAGCAGACCAAGCCUUGGGGGAAUUUGUUGUAGCACCAGGCACUGGAUGGGGAGGAUAAGGUAUGAGGCUUCUGGUCGUUCUAGGUUAGUCUCUCAAGUCCUUUCUAGUAAAACUUCUGCAUAGAUAUUCCAUUCAAGAAUAAAGCUCUUUUAAGGCAGAAGAAGCAUUAAGCUACCGGAUGG